rnacentral:rRNA from 1 species
GAUGAACGCUGGCGGCGUGCCUAAUACAUGCAAGUCGAGCGAACGGACGAGAAGCUUGCUUCUCUGAUGUUAGCGGCGGACGGGUGAGUAACACGUGGAUAACCUACCUAUAAGACUGGGAUAACUUCGGGAAACCGGAGCUAAUACCGGAUGAUAUUUUGAACCGCAUGGUUCAAAAGUGAAAGACGGUCUUGCUGUCACUUAUAGAUGGAUCCGCGCUGCAUUAGCUAUUUGGUAAGGUAACGGCUUACCAAGGCAACGAUGCAUAGCCGACCUGAGAGGGUGCACGGCCACACUGGAACUGAGACACGGUCCAGACGCCUACGGGAGGCAGCAGUAGGGAAUCUGCCGCAAUGGGCGAAAGCCUGACGGAGCAACGCCGCGUGAGUGAUGAAGGUCUUCGGAUCGUAAAACUCUGUUAUUAGGGAAGAACAUAUGUGUAAGUAACUGUGCACAUCUUGACGGUACCUAAUCAGAAAGCCACGGCUAACUACGUG